rnacentral:rRNA from 2 species
GCGGCAUGCCUAAUACAUGCAAGUCGAACGAGCUUCCGUUGAAUGAYGUGCUUGCACUGAUUUCAACAAUGAAGCGAGUGGCGAACUGGUGAGUAACACGUGGGAAAUCUGCCCAGAAGCAGGGGAUAACACUUGGAAACAGGUGCUAAUACCGUAUAACAACAMAAUCCGCAUGGAUUUUGUUUGAAAGGUGGCUUCGGCUAUCACUUCUGGAUGAUCCCGCGGCGUAUUAGUUAGUUGGUGAGGUAAAGGCCCACCAAGACRAUGAUACGUAGCCGACCUGAGAGGGUAAUCGGCCACAUUGGGACUGAGACACGGCCCAAACUCCUACGGGAGGCAGCAGUAGGGAAUCUUCCACAAUGGACGAAAGUCUGAUGGAGCAAUGCCGCGUGAGUGAAGAAGGGUUUCGGCUCGUAAAACUCUGUUGUUAAAGAAGAACACCUUUGAGAGUAACUGUUCAAGGGUUGACGGUAUUUAACCAGAAAGCCACGGCUAACUACGUGCCAGCAGCCGCGGUAAUACGUAGGUGGCAAGCGUUGUCCGGAUUUAUUGGGCGUAAAGCGAGCGCAGGCGGUUUUUUAAGUCUGAUGUGAAAGCCUUCGGCUUAACCGGAGAAGUGCAUCGGAAACUGGGA